GAUGCGCUGCCCGGCUCGUGCAGGAUUAUUAUUUGCGGGGCCUUACGUUUCCACAGGGAGCUGUCCCUGACCCGGCCCGUGGGCCGGGAUAUACGGCGCCCACCUACUUUUGUAGGUUCCCGGAAUCGACGAUCCCACGGCCGUGGCGGCAUCUGA
rnacentral:other from 1 species